CCCUGAGAGAGUAGAAGAGCUAAGUCUUAGCCCUGUCUACCCCACUAGAUCACCGAAUCCCACAUGAGACUAAAAACUCAGUUUGGAAUCUGGAUCACCUUGGUCUAGUUCUCUGUUUUCCAAAGCAUGUUCCCUAGCACUUUGGUCCUGAGAAAUCCACUGUGAUGAAAGUAGUUUGUUUUCUGUGUUAGUCUGGAUUUUUGCCCUCUUAUGUUGAAGUGGGGGCUACUAACACCCAUCUUCCUGUCACCCCCAGGCUUCUCCCCUUCUCUCCCCUGGGCAUCCACAGUUUCCCUUACACCCCAGGGCACAAGAAUCUGUAGUUGUUUUCUCUGGCUCCUUAAGCAGAAGGGACAAGAGUAGGGAGGGCUCAUGGUGAGGUCGGGCAGAGUGACCUGGACAAGCUUAGUAGGCUAAGCAACACAAGACCAAGCGAUGCUGGAGCAUGGAGGAGGAAGUGGAGCUUGUACAUACAUGGAGGAGAGGCCCAGGUCAAGUCAACUGGCCCUGGGUGUCUGUUUGGGGUCUCUGGUUCCACCCAUGGAUCCCAGCACCCCCAUGGCCCCCUUGCUCCUGCACACCCUCCCAGUGUCCGCCAUCAUUCUCUUUGGAGCCAUUAUUCAUGUUUCAGGGGAUGUCCCCUCAUACCACUGCCAUUCUUCUGACUGCCUGGAUUUUUGUCUUUCACUUCUAUCUUGAAGGAACCUGGCUGAGGUUCUGUGAGAAGCCAGGCCUUCCCAUCACCUCCUUUCCUUUCGAGUAUACUGUCUGCACCCUCCACCUGGGGUGGGGCCCAUCUAUGUUGUUGGGUUCUUCGAGGCUCAGUUCAGGGUUGAUGGCGAUGGUACCUUACUCAGAAUAGGGCCUUCCAGGCACCUAUUGGAUGAAGGGGGCAAUGCUCACUUUGU
rnacentral:lncRNA from 1 species